UCCGGAAUGGUGUAGUGGCUAGCAUUUCUGCCUCUCAUUGACUGUUGAAUCAGACAGUUGAAGUGGUCGCAGGAGACCGGGGUUCAAUUCCCCGUUCCGGAA